rnacentral:lncRNA from 1 species
UCUUCAUCUCAUAUAGUUAUUAUUUUUGAGUGGUAGCAACAUUCAGAAUCUUUCCUUCUAGCUACUUUGAAAUAUAUGAUACAUUUGUGUUAAGGCUAGUCACCCUGCUGUGGAAUAGAAGGCCAGAAUUGAUCACUAUCAUCUGAGAGUAACUUUGUACCCAUCACUGAUUCCUUCUGAGACUGCCUCCACUUCCCCAGCAGCCUCUGAUUUCUUCAUGUGGCUGCAGAUGGCAGGAUUUCCCAAAGGUUUAUGGCUGCAACAUAUUCCGUGGUGUAUCUGUACAGCAGUUUCCUCAUUCCUGCAGCUGUGUUUGAACAGGUCAUUUACCAUGCGGUCCUCCAGGUUCAACAGUAUGGCUCCAAAUGAUGAAAUUUCAUUCUGAUUUUCUGGCUGAAGACUAUUCUGUUUGUGUAUGUCCACCACAGUUACUUUAUCCCUUCAUCUGUGGAUGGGCAGUUGGUUGGCAGAGAAUUUGAACUGGAGAUGAACUUUAUUAUCCAGGAUGCUGAGAGUAUAACAUGCAUGACAGAGCUUUUAGAGCACUGUGAUGUAACAUGUCAAGCAGAAAUAGGGAGCAUGUUUACAGCCAUUCUAUGAAAAAGUGUUCGGAAUGUACAGACUAGCACAGAAGCUGGACUAAUUGAACAAGUAUUGCUGAAAAUGAGUGCUGUAGAUGACAUGAUAGCAGGUAUGGGGUUGUCUGUCAGG